rnacentral:rRNA from 1 species
GUGGGGAAUCUUCCGCAAUGGACGAAAGUCUGACGGAGCAACGCCGCGUGAGUGAUGAAGGUCUUCGGAUUGUAAAGCUCUGUUAAUCGGGACGAAAGAGCCUAGUGUGAAUAAUGCUAGGAAGUGACGGUACCGGAAUAGAAAGCCACGGCUAACUACGUGUCAGCAGCCGCGGUAAUACGUAGGUGGCAAGCGUUGUCCGGAAUUAUUGGGCGUAGAGCGCGCGCAGGCGGAUCUGCCAGUCUGUCUUAAAAGUUCGGGGCUUAACCCCGUGAUGGGAUGGAAACUACAGAUCUAGAGUAUCGGAGAGGAAAGUGGAAUUCCUAGUGUAGCGGUGAAAUGCGUAGAUAUUAGGAAGAACACCAGUGGCGAAGGCGACUUUCUGGACGAAAACUGACGCUGAGGCGCGAAAGCCAGGGGAGCGAACGGGAUUAGAAACCCGUGUAGUCC